UGUUGAAAAUUUCAUUCAUUUUUGCUGUUAAAAACUAGCAUGACAAAUAAAAUAACUAGGCAUCGACAUGUGAUGUGCCAUAUAUACCUUAUACUAACAUAUAUGGAUCAAUUUUUAAUAGUAAAAAUAAAUGAAAUUUACU
rfam:Gossypium raimondii Chr03_contig_24, whole genome shotgun sequence.